rnacentral:rRNA from 1 species
CCUACGGGAGGCAGCAGUGGGGGAUAUUGCACAAUGGGGGGAACCCUGAUGCAGCGACGCCGCGUGGGUGAAGAAGCGCCUCGGCGCGUAAAGCCCUGUCAGCAGGGAAGAAAAUGACGGUACCUGAAGAAGAAGCCGCGGCUAACUACGUGCCAGCAGCCGCGGGAAUACGUAGGGGGCAAGCGUUAUACGGAUUUACGGGGCGUAAAGGGGGCGCAGGCGGGUAUGCAAGCCAGGAGUGAAAGCCCGGGGCCCAACCCCGGGACUGAUCUUGGAACUGCGUGGCUGGAGUGCAGGAGGGGUAGGCGGAAUUCGUGGUGUAGCGGUGAAAUGCGUAGAUAUCAGGCGGAACACCGGUGGCGAAGGCGGCCUGCUGGACUGCAACUGACGUUGAGGCACGAAAGCGUGGGGAGCAAACAGGAUUAGAUACCCCGGUAGUC